GCAAAAGAAGGGUGGACGGAAAGUUGGUCGGAAGUUCCGUCCAACAUUCGCGCGUUGGACGGAAAAUCCGUUCAACAUCCAGUGUUGGAAGGAAAUUCUGUCCAACCUAUAGUGUUGGUUGGUAAACUCAAAUUGAUUAAUAGGUAGAAAUUAAAAAUGGUAAGAAUUUUAAUUUCUGUCCAACAUAUUAUUGAACGGAAAUUUAGGAAAUAAAUAAAAAUAAAACCCUAGAGGUAUAGUACCCUCCAAACACAGAUCUAAGCUCUUCUCUAUCUCUAAGCUCUGGCGAUUGACGACGGCGGCAAGUUGGACUCCUCUCUCACAUCGACAAAGGCGGCAAGUUGGACUCCUCUCUCACAUCGACGAAGGCGGGUAUCUCCAGACUCCAGCGAUCGAUGACGAUGACGGCUUGAAAUCCUCUCUCUAUAGUCUACGAAAGUGGCAUCAGCAGCGGCAGUGUUUGAUGGAAAUAUUGGCGGCGUGAGCAGCGGCGACGGCACCAGCUCCGGCGUUGCUACGCUUCCUCAGUUUAUAUAUGUCAAUGCCGUUCGAAAUAUGGUCGACCGCUCGCUGUCACCUCAACCGCUGCCAGUCACCGUCGCCACCAUCUUCCACCUACAUUAUGGUCGUCGGAAUGGAAGGCUAGAACGGCGUCUCCGAUUGCUAUGAUGAGAUUAGGGUUUAGAAUACAGUGAUGUUGAUGACUAUAUUGCAAAUUUUGAGCCUCUUAUGUUUGAAGAAGUUAAAGCUCAGAUUAUUCAAGGGAAGAAGGAUGAUGAGGGAGGUAACUUUUUUAGGUUUGCUUUCUCUGUUUCCUUGUUAGUGGAGCUGAUUUUGAGAUUGGUGAUUAUAGGUGUGAGAGGUAGAGAGGAAAUAGACCAAAUUGUUGUUUAAAUUGCUAGUUUUGACUUUGCCUAUUGUGGCUAAGAAUUGUAAUUGGUGCAAUGGAAGUUCUUUUUCGUA